rnacentral:rRNA from 1 species
CCCUUAGAUGUCCUGGGCCGCACGCGCGCUACACUGAGUGUCUGAGAUACGAGUCUGCCUGGUCCGGCAAGGUCUAGGUAAUCGCUAAAAGACACAUCAUGCUUGGGAUAGAUUAUUGCAAAUAUUAAUCUUGAACGAGGAAUUCCUAGUAAGCGCAAGACAACAGCUUGCGUUGAUUACGUCCCUGCCCUUUGUACACACCGCCCGUCGCUACUACUGAUUGGAUGUUUAAGCGAGGUUCUCGAACUGCUAGCGACUUAGCUUCGGUGAGGUCGCAGUGUGGGAAGUGAACCUAGCUUUGGUGUCUAGAGGAAGUAAAAGUCGUAACA